rnacentral:rRNA from 1 species
AGAGUUUGAUCCUGGCUCAGGAUGAACGCUAGCGGCAGGCUUAAUACAUGCAAGUCGAGGGGCAGCAUGACCGUAGCAAUACGGUUGAUGGCGACCGGCAAACGGGUGCGGAACACGUACACAACCUUCCUUUAAGCGGGGAAUAGCCCGGGGAAACCCGGAUUAAUACUCCAUAGUAUAUUGAAGAGGCAUCUCUUUACUAUUAAAGAUUUAUCACUUGAAGAUGGGUGUGCGGCUGAUUAGCUAGUUGGAGGGGUAACGGCCCACCAAGGCAACGAUCAGUAACUGGUGUGAGAGCACGACCAGUCACACGGGCACUGAGACACGGGCCCGACUCCUACGGGAGGCAGCAGUAAGGAAUAUUGGUCAAUGGACGCAAGUCUGAACCAGCCAUGCCGCGUGGAGGAUGAAGGUCCUCUGGAUUGUAAACUUCUUUUAUCUGGGACAAAAAAAGGUUUUUCUAGACCGACUGACGGUACCAGAUGAAUAAGCACCGGCUAACUCCGUGCCAGCAGCCGCGGUAAUAC